rnacentral:rRNA from 1 species
UACGUAGGGGGCUAGCGUUAUCCGGAAUUACUGGGCGUAAAGAGUGCGUAGGCGGUUUCUCAAGUCCGCUGUGAAAUCCCCGGGCUCAACCUGGGAAUGGCAGUGGAAACUAGGAGACUUGAAUCUGGCAGAGGGGGGUGGAAUUCCACGUGUAGCAGUGAAAUGCGUAGAGAUGUGGAGGAACACCGAUGGCGAAGGCAGCCCCCUGGGCUGAGCAUUGACGGCUCAGGCACGAAAGCGUGGGGAGCAAACAGGAAU